CACAGUUAGACCACUGCGCCACUCAGGAGUAUAGAUAGGUAGCUGGUGAUAUUUAAUUCACUUAGUUAGCUAACUUCAAAUUAGCUAGCUUCCUUGAUGCAACAGCCAUGGAGGUGGGUGAAAGCAUAGCAGCCCCAUCUGUCAAAGUGAGAGAGUAGGCUGUUCUGGAGAGGGCAGGUUCUGUUGUGUAGUUCCAGUCCCUAGAAGUGAGGACGGAGAUAAUAGUAACAUAAUAUUUAGUGCGGUCUAAUUUUAGUAUAGUGAAGUCUGUUUCUUGUGAGGUUUUCUGUCCUCAGGUACAGAGAGCAGUGAAAGCCUGUCUGCAGAUGAAGAGGUCCCGAUGAAGAGCAGUGGUUCUCUGUCGUGGUCCUGGGGACUCGAAGGGGGUGCACGUUUUUUGCCUUAGCACUACACAGCUGGUUCAAAUGAUCAACUCAUCAUCAAGCUUCAAGUGAUAACUUGUAACUGGAGAUUCCUUCAAAACGAUUGCCUACAGUUACUGUGUAGGGCACUGCAAGGUUGGGUGACCAGGGCCAACUGGGACUGCCUCCUGGGGGAAUUCAGGCCUGUGUGUGAAGGCUUCCUGUGUCCUGCAUAACUUUCAUGAGGAUGGACGCGAGGACCAGGAGGGGGUCUGCAGCUCGCCACCGUGUGCCAGAGGAGAGGUCUGCUGCUCUGCAGGAUGUUUCCAGGAUGGGGGCCAACAACGCAGCAUGAGAGGCAAUCCGUGUGCGGGAGAUCUUCACCUCCUACUUCUUCGAAGGGUGCUGUUCCCUGGCAACACCAUAGACUACACUAUGCACAACCAAAGGCUCUUUUAAGAGCCAUCCACAUUGCAAUAAGAGUAUUCUUCCAUUUACUUAGCUUCGUUAACUGCAGUUAUUCAAUUCCCAGUUUCUCUCCAGUUGAUUUCUACUUCUCAGGUGAGGGUGCUGUUUAGGUAAGGGUGUGACGUCUGUACAAAAACAAAACAGCCUAUUUUAAGUCCCCCAUAUUGAAAGAAUUUAGAACAAUUAGACACCCUAUAACCCACACACUCAUGUAUCAAUUUGAUUGAUGGAUUGUGUUGUGCAGUAAGCAGGCUCAGGUGUAUAACUGUGGCUCCUUCCACCUUCAAAGAAUCGCAAAAGAGGACCAACCAUGGCGAAUUUAUAUAACUGCGCUAUAUUGUUUGUCCUCGUGUGUCUGUGAAUGUUUUCCAGUAUAAAGUACUCUGCAGCCACUUAGUGUGGACACCAGGUGAGGCCACACACAGAGAUUCCUGUUGAACAUUGUCUCUUUAACUACCUUAUUUUCUCAAUAAGUCUCUCUCCUUCACUUCAUCCUUCUCCCCCCUUCUCCCUAAAUCCUCUAGGUUAUAUCAGCUGUGUUGGUGAACCCCUCCCGCAUCUGAACUGGCUGACACAGAGGGCACAGCAUGAUCAGAGGUAUGUUUUGAUGUGAGAGAGGAUCCCAACCCCUAGUCCCGUCAUCGCCACCUCACCCGCUCUUAAGAUCACCUUCUGGCCGACUGGGGGCCCAAGGCUGUUAGGAGACACCGCUAGAGACACUAUUAUGGAAUUGUGAUGAACUGAGAGAAUAUUAGCACUGUAAUUCAUU